rnacentral:rRNA from 2 species
GGUUAAGCGACUAAGCGUACACGGUGGAUGCCCUGGCAGUCAGAGGCGAUGAAGGGCGUGCUAAUCUGCGAUAAGCGCCGGUAAGGUGAUAUGAACCGUUAUAACCGGCGAUACCCGAAUGGGGAAACCCAGUGUGAUUCGUCACACUAUCAUUAACUGAAUCCAUAGGUUAAUGAGGCGAACCGGGGGAACUGAAACAUCUAAGUACCCCGAGGAAAAGAAAUCAACCGAGAUUCCCCCAGUAGCGGCGAGCGAACGGGGAGGAGCCCAGAGCCUGAAUCAGCAUGUGUGUUAGUGGAAGCGUCUGGAAAGGCGCGCGAUACAGGGUGACAGCCCCGUACACAAAAGCGCAUGUGCUGUGAGCUCGAUGAGUAGGGCGGGACACGUGGUAUCCUGUCUGAAUAUGGGGGGACCAUCCUCCAAGGCUAAAUACUCCUGACUGACCGAUAGUGAACCAGUACCGUGAGGGAAAGGCGAAAAGAACCCCGGCGAGG